UAAAUGCUGUGGUAUACGAGUCCACAUCAAUGUGUUGACCGACUAAAUCUUUGUAUUUUUGGGAAACAAAAGUCUUUCUGACAGUAUGCAAGCCGUUUCACGCGGAAGCAGCUAAGUGAGAAGCGCGUUGCCCACCUGCUUUAAUUAUGCGGGUUCAAUACAAAACGUGGACCACCGGUACCAAUACAGCUUUUUU
rnacentral:other from 1 species